rnacentral:rRNA from 1 species
UCUCUGGUGAUUCAUGAUACUUCUCGAUCGCAUGGCCUUGUGCCGGCGAUGGUUCAUUCAAUUUCUUCCCUAUCAACUUUCGAUGUUUGGGUAGUGGCCAAACAUGGUUGCAACGGGUAACGGAGGGUUAGGGCUCGACCCCGGAGAAGGAGCCUGAGAAACGGCUACUACAUCCAAGGAAGGCAGCAGGCGCGCAAAUUACCCAAUCCCGACACGGGGAGGUAGUGACAAUAAAUACUGAUACAGGGCUCUUUUGGGUCUUGUAAUUGGAAUGAGUACAAUUUAAAUCCCUUAACGAGGAACAAUUGGAGGGCAAGUCUGGUGCCAGCAGCCGCGGUAAUUCCAGCUCCAAUAGCGUAUAUUAAAGUUGUUGUGGUUAAAAAGCUCGUAGUUGAACCUUGGGCCUGGCUGGCCGGUCCGCCUCACCGCGUGUACUGGUCCGGCCGGGCCUUUCCCUCUGUGGAACCCCAUGCCCUUCACUGGGUGUGG